rnacentral:rRNA from 1 species
UACGUAGGGGGGCGAGCGUUAUCCGGAAUUACUGGGCGUAAAGCGCACGCAGGCGGUUCGCCAAGUUUGGAGUGACAGUUGUCGGCUCAACCGACAAAGGACUUCAAAAACUGGUGAACUUGAGGACGAGAGAGGAACAUGGAACUCCAGGUGUAGUAGUGAAAAUGCGUUAGAUAUCUGGAAGAACACCAAUGGCGAAGGCAAUGUUCUGGCUCGUUUCUGACGCUCAGGUGCGAAAGCCAGGGGAGCGAACGGG